AUUGAACUCCUUAUAUAACACACAAAUCAGCAGUAAAAGGGGAACAAAAAGGAAACAGAAUUUCACUAGAAAAGGUACUAAAAAACAAAGAGUGAAAUUAGGGGAGAAGUCUCGGGGGCUUUUUUUUUUUUUUUGUGGUUUUUGAGUCAUUGUUUGAAAGCUUAGGAAAAAUAGGGAAAGACAACAGGAAUCAUUAGAAUAUAACAGUAGCAAAAAUCAGCCUCAAUUUCGUCCAUCAAAAAUUCAAUCCCCAUCAAUAAAGAAGAAAAGUUCUAUUCCCAGCAUCAAUCCGACAAUCAAGUUUAACCUUUCAGCCUGAAACACCAAAUAGAAACCACGUGCUUAGAGUCCAAGUUUGGCUUCGGCUAGCAAGAAGGGUAGAGUAAGAAGAAGGAGAGGCUAAAAUUUGUGGUAAUUGGCAAUAGAAGGAAGCAGCUGAAAGUUGGAGGAACGUUGCUAUGAUUGUGAAAAAGGCAUGGGUUUGUUCUGCCGAAAGAGAAGAUAAAAAGGGGAAAUGAAGAAACAAGAAAAGUAAAGACAAUAUGUUGGACAAGAAAACAAACUAACUGGGGAAGCUUUAUUCCAAAAGCCACAUGCUUGAAGUCCAAGUUUAUUUCUUUACUUUUUACUCUUAUUUUUAUUUAGUUUUUUUCUUCUAUUUUUGUUAUUCAUUUAUUUGUUUAUUUGUUCACUUUAUUUCAUGCAUAAAUUUAGAAAAUUAUUAAUACGAUAUAUGAAUACAAUAAAAAAACUCAAAUAUGUUCUAAAUAAAAUAAUUUUGUAUGUUCAAUUCACUUUGUAUAAUUAAAUAAUUAUAGUUAUGAAUUUUAGGUAAACUUAGUUGUAAAUAAAAUUCUUCCUCUAAUGGAAUUAAAAGGGAACACAAAAGUAUUUUUUUUUUUAAUUCUUAUGUGAGAAUAUUUUUAAACCUAC
rnacentral:lncRNA from 1 species